AGAGUUUGAUCAUGGCUCAGAAUGAACGCUGGCGGCGUGCCUAACACAUGCAAGUCGAGCGAGAAAGCGGCUUCGGCCGUGAGUAGAGCGGCGGACGGGUGAGUAACACGUGGAUAACCUACCUGGAAGUGGGGAAUAACUCGAGGAAACUUGAGCUAAUACCGCAUACUCUCGCACCGUGCAGGCGGUGCGUGCAAAGGUGGCCUCUUCAUGAAAGCUAUCGCUUCCAGAUGGAUCCGCGGCUGAUUAGCUAGUUGGUGGGGUAAUGGCCCACCAAGGCUCCGAUCAGUAGCCGGCCUGAGAGGGUGAUCGGCCACACUGGAACUGAGACACGGUCCAGACUCCUACGGGAGGCAGCAGUGGGGAAUAUUGGACAAUGGGCGAAAGCCUGAUCCAGCACGCCGCGUGGAGGAUGAAGGCCUUCGGGUUGUAAACUCCUGUCAGGUGGGACGAAAAGGCUCCGGCCAAUACCCGGGGCCCUUGACGGUACCACCGGAGGAAGCCCCGGCUAACUACGUGCCAGCAGCCGCGGUAACACGUAGGGGGCGAGCGUUAUUCGGAAUUAUUGGGCGUAAAGGGCGCGUAGGCGGCCAGACAAGUCAGGGGUGAAAUCCCUCGGCUCAACCGAGGAACUGCCUCUGAAACUAUCUGGCUUGAGGCCGGGAGAGGGUAGUGGAAUUCCCAGUGUAGCGGUGAAAUGCGUAGAUAUUGGGAGGAACACCAGUUGCGAAGGCGGCUACCUGGACCGGUUCUGACGCUGAGGCGCGAAAGUGUGGGGAGCAAACAGGAUUAGAUACCCUGGUAGUCCACACUGUAAACGUUGAGCACUCGGUGUCGCGGGUGUCGACCCCUGCGGUGCCUUAGGUAACCCGUUAAGUGCUCCGCCUGGGGAGUACGGUCGCAAGGCUGAACUCAAAGGAAUUGACGGGG
rnacentral:rRNA from 1 species